UUUUAGGUAGUAUAAUUUGAGUACAAUUACCUUCCAAGUAAGUGGUCUAUUUUGACUCCUAAAUA
rnacentral:tRNA from 1 species